CCAACUUCGCUUCUGUAAGCGUAUUCCGCCUCGGCAAUGGGACACCAACCCGAAUGUCUACUCCCUCUGAAAUUGAAGCCCCGGCUAUACCCACGGACCCUGAUGGUGAUGCCUGGUUACUCGAACCCACCUCUUGCGUAUGAGGCAAGGCUAGAACCCGGUUCGCUAUAGCCUCUAACUCUAUGUAAUUCCUCUGCAUCUCCCUAUAUGCAGCCGACCCAGAGUCUACUGAUGGCUCACCCCCCUCAGUCCCACGCCCUAUCAUCCUACUUUCUAUAAUGCCUUCUACCAUACCCUCUGUCCCUGAACUCUCCUCUU
rnacentral:lncRNA from 1 species